rnacentral:rRNA from 1 species
CCUACGGGCGGCAGCAGUGAGGAAUAUUGGUCAAUGGACGCAAGUCUGAACCAGCCAUGCCGCGUGCAGGAAGACUGCUCUAUGAGUUGUAAACUUCUUUUGUACGAGGGUAAACUCAGAUACGUGUAUCUGUCUGAAAGUAUCUUACGAAUAAGCAUCGGCUAACUCCGUGCCAGCAGCCGCGGUAAUACGGAGGAUUCAAGCGUUAUCCGGAUUUCUUGGGUUUAAAGGGUGCGUAGGCGGUCGGAUAAGUUAGAGGUGAAAUCCCGAGGCUCAACUUCGGAAUUGCCUCUGAUACUGUUGGGCUAGAGAGUAGUUGCGGUAGGCGGAAUGUAUGGUGUAGCGGUGAAAUGCUUAGAUAUCAUACAGAACACCGAUUGCGAAGGCAGCUUACCAAGCUACUUCUGACGUUGAGGCACGAAAGCGUGGGGAGCAAACAGGAUUAGAUACCCUAGUAGUC